rnacentral:rRNA from 1 species
CCUACGGGAGGCAGCAGUGAGGAAUAUUGGUCAAUGGGCGGAAGCCUGAACCAGCCAAGCAGCGUGCAGGAUGACGGUCCUACGGGUUGUAAACUGCUUUUAUACGGGAAUAACGCGCCUUACGUGUAGGGCUUUGCAUGUACCGUAUGAAUAAGGACCGGCUAAUUCCGUGCCAGCAGCCGCGGUAAUACGGAAGGUCCGGGCGUUAUCCGGAUUUAUUGGGUUUAAAGGGUGCGUAGGCGGCAUGUCAAGCGUGCUGUGAAAUGGCCGGGCUCAACCCGGGCCUGACAGGUCGAACUGGGGUGCUUGAGUCCGCGGAAAGCAGGCGGAAUUGGUCGUGUAGCGGGGGAAUGCCU